CGGACGGGUGAGUAAUGUCUGGGAAACUGCCUGAUGGAGGGGGAUAACUACUGGAAACGGUAGCUAAUACCGCAUAACGUCGCAAGACCAAAGAGGGGGACCUUAGGGCCUCUUGCCAUCGGAUGUGCCCAGAUGGGAUUAGCUUGUUGGUGGGGUAACGGCUCACCAAGGCGACGAGCCCUAGCUGGUCUGAGAGGAUGACCAGCCACACUGGAACUGAGACACGGUCCAG
rnacentral:rRNA from 1 species